UUUUAAAAUAAAUUUUUGUGGAUUUUUUCUUUUUUUUCUUGGCUUGCUGCAUGACGUGUCCAUGGUUCACGCUUCCUCCAUUUUGUCCCUGUGCUCCCCAUGGACUCCUCUGUUCUCUUAGCUUCUGCAAAAAGGAAAAAAAAAACAUAAUAAAAUACCGACUUGUUUUUUUUAAAUUCCAAAACCGUGAAAUCUUCCAACCAUGAAAUGAAAAAACUUGAUAUUUUUUUAAUUUACUUUUAAAAAAAAAUAUAUAUUUUAUGUUAAAAUGUCAAAGUUUUCUGGUCUUAGGGAAGUAACAUGAAUUUUUAUUUACUUUUAUUCAUUUUUUUAUUUUAAAAAUUUAAAUAUUGGUUUUUUUCUGAAUUUUUAAAAACAAUCACGCACAUUUUUAAAAAAAUUUUAAAAAUAAAAUUAUGUUUUUGAGAAAAAAAUUUAAAAUAUCAUUUUUUUCCAAAAAAAAUUUUUUUAAACCGAACUACAAUUACUUUUCCUGCCCUCUGGACUCAUGACAAGAAAUCACGAUUUUGAUUUUUCUCUCUUUCCUUUCUGGUGCUGCACGCGAACCUCCGCGUCCUCCCCUCGUGCAACUCCGUGACUUGGGCGUGGGCUUUAUGGAAGAAAUCUCCAUUUUAAAAAUUUUUUAAAAGAUUCAUUUAUUUCUCAGUUUUGGGGAAUUGUCCCUACUUACCCCUCAUCUGAGGCAGGGGCAUGGCUGCUUUGGGAAACAAUGGCAACAACCUGGGGUUUCUGGGGGGGAGAUUUAAAUUUUGGGAUAAAAAUGAUGUAUAGCGCGGUGAUAGAAGAUUUAAUGAUAAAAAUAAUAUGUAAUGUGUAUUAUAUAUAAUAUAUAUUAUAUUAUAUUAUAUACAUUAUAUAUAUGUAAUCAUACAUAGCGAGUAUAUGUGUUACACGUGAUGUAUAAUGACGUAAUAACAAGAAGCGAGAUAUAAAAUAAUAUAUAGAGAAAAUGAGCUUUUAGAACAAUUUUUCAUAUAUAAAAAAUGAAUAAUAAUAUAUGUAACACGUAGUCUAUAUAGCAUAUUUAAAAUAUAUAAUGAUGUAAUGUAUGUAACAAGACAAUAGCAGAGCAAGUAUAUAAUAUAAUGAUAACAUAAUAUAAUAAUAAUUUUUCUCUAUAAUGGAAACGCGUUCCAUGGUAGCGCAGUAGAACAUGGAGCGCAUGGCAUAGGUGGGGAUAAAAGAAGUGAUAGAGUAAUAAUGAAAAUGACGCACGGUGUGAUAAUAGCAAAUUUACCAAUAACAAGAAUAUCUCAUGUGUGGCAGCGUGAGGUCACGUGUAGUAUGUGUGCAUACCAUAGUACGUGACGACAUAACGGGGAUGAUAUGAGUCAUAGAUAAAAUAACGUAUGAGACAAAAGUGAGCUGUUGGGACAACCUUUUAUAUUUAAAAUAAUAAUAACAAUAAUAUUUUAUAUUUAAAAUUUGAAAAAUUUUUUCCCUGCAUGGACGCCGCCACGGUCGGGAACUUGGACUCUAAAUUUCUUUUAAGUAAUUUUUUGUUUAGAUAAUAAAAAUGAUCUCUAAAAGACGUGGCUAUGGUACUUUAUAUUUAAAAAUAAUAAUCCCAGAAAUAAUAAUAAUAAAAAUGUUUUAAAUUUAAAUUUUGAAAUUUAUUUUUUGUGCACAGACGCAGCCACAGUCGGGAGUUUGGAAUACUGAAUUUUUUUUUUUUUUUUUUUAAAGAUUUAUUUAUUUAUUAUAUGUAAGUACAUUGUAGCUGUCUUCAGACACUCAGAAGAGGGGGUCAGAUCUUGUUACGGAUGGUUGUGAGCCACCAUGUGGUUGCUGGGAUUUGAACUCUGGACCUUCGGAAGAGCAGUCGGGUGCUCUAACCCACCGAGCCAUCUCACCAGCCCUGAAUACUGAAUUUUUUAAAUAAUUUUUUUAGAUAAUAAAAAUGAUCUUUAACGUGUGAUAAUGUGAUAUAGUGUGUGGUAUGUGUAACACGGUAAUCUAUGGCAGUGUAAGAGAAAAAUAAUCUAUAAUAUAUAGUAGGAUACAGAUACGUAAUAUGUAAUAAAAUUUAUAUAAUUUAGAAUAGCCUAUAAUAUAAAGUAUUAUGGAAUAAAAAUUUGAAAGUAUUUUCUAUAACAAAAACAAUAUGUAACAUAAUAACAUGAUAUGAAACAGUAUAUGAUAUGUGUGAUAAUAAAAAAAUAUUUUAGUAAGAGUAAAAAUAACAGCAUAAUAGCAAAUUUAGUAAUAAAAACAUGUAAAAAUAAUAUGAUUUAACAUAUAGUAUAUAUACAUAUUUUAAAAUAAUUUUUAUGUAAUAAAAGUAAUCUAUAAUGUAUAAUAAUAUAGUAUGUAGCAUAUGUAAUACAUAGGAUAGCAUAUGACAAUAGAGUAGCAGUAAAAAUAAUAUAUAAUAUUACAUUAUAUUACAUAUAUAGUAUGUAUUAUAUAAUAAAAUAUGUUUUUAAAUGAUAUAAUAAAAUAAUUUUUUCUGACAAUAUUUUUUCUAUAAUAAAAACAACAUGUAACGUGAGAAUAUGAUGUAACAUAUAGUAUGUGAUAUAUGUGGUAAUAAGUGAAAUAACAUAUAACGUAAUAAUAUAACUAUUUUUUAUAUUAUAAAAUCUAUUUCAGAUUCUAUUUUUCACCAAAAAAAGAGUUUUAAAAUUAAGUUGUUUUUUUUUUUUUUAAUAUUCAGGCUUCAAAACCUUUUUUUAAACUUUUUUUAUAGUAAAUGUAAUAUAUAGCAUGUAAUAAUGUAAUAUACCACGGUGCAUACAACAUACAGGAUGAUGUGUAAUACGGUAAUCAUGAAAAUGGUAGCAUCUAUUUUGUGUUCUCUUCUUCUGUGAAAAGGGAAAAAAAAAUACCAACUUUUUUUUAAAUUCCAAAACCGUGAAAUCUUACAACCAUGAAAUGAAAAAAUUUGAAUUUUUUUAUUUCUUUGUUUAUUAAUUAAUUAAUUUAUUUAUUUAUUUAUUUGGUUUUUCGAGACAGGGUUUCUCUGUGUAGCCCUGGCUGUCCUGGAACUCACUGUGUAGACCAGGCUGGCCUCUAACUUAGAAAUCCACCUGCCUCUGCCUCCCAAGUGCUGGGAUUAAAGCUGUGCGCCACCACGCCCAGCGACCCUAAAAUACUUAAUAAGCACUUUAUAAGAAAAACCUAAAAUUCU
rnacentral:lncRNA from 1 species